ensembl:lncRNA
CAGAGGGAGUCAGGUUGAGAACACGAAUAGACCAGUUAAGCUGAACAACCACGGUUCCCAUGUUAAAACUACUCAUGUGAAUGGGGGCUCUACUGAGGAGGAGGACAGCGGAAAGACAGGAUCUGCUGCUGCUUUCACACGUAACCUAUCGGUGAUUAAACGGGGCAAGAAACCUCCAGCUCCUCCCAGCAGGUCAUACUCUUUACACAACAGGAAACAGACCUGGAAGACAUCUGAGAGCUCUACCUACUUGGCUGAUGUCAGCACUCCAGAUGGAUCACCAUACCCUGCUGUCAUGGAGGCCACCACUCACAAGUUGACAACUUCCCCAUCAAAGGAGAGCCAGCCAGUCAGCACAGAUAAGAAAACUAUGUUAGCUGAGCUACAGAUACACAGAAAUAACCUUCAAGUGUCUUCCAUUGGCGCACCCCAAUCAUACACACAUGGCACCCGUAAGCUUGCUGAACUUAAGAACAACCUUCUGUCUGCAAAAAGUUUAAUCAGUGGUAACAAUUCCUCACCAGCUGUGAUGGCUCUGUUGUCUCUGUUUGAGAUUCCCACCCAUCCCAAAGUACUGGCUCCGCCAGCUCCUCCUCCUGAGACCUGGGCUCACAACCAGCGGACUUUUGAACUGCUGUGUGGGCUCGGACCUGUUAACUAUGCACGCUGGGCCAAAAAGAGAGGUCUUAAAAUUGCAGAUGAACCGGAUGUGGCUUUGGCAAAUGCUGACAGAGUAGCACCUCUAUUGCAGCCAGUAGAGAUAAAAGGCAAAGUUGAAUCCGCAGCGCCGGUUGCCUAUGUCGCCCCAUCUCCAUCACCUCCCCCAGAUCAUUGCCCACCAAUACCAAACAACAGCCAAGCCAAACCUCCUCCACCCCCUCCUGACUUUGUUCCCCCAACUCCUACACUAGCUGCUAAAGCAAUAAAGGACUUGACUUCUUGGAUCCCUCCACCUCCUCUGUUUCCUCCUCCAGCACCUCCAGUAGGUACGACUACAGCAACUCCUGUCGCUGUGCAAUAUGAUACUGACCUCCCUCCACCGCCGCCACCAUUUUCGCCACAGUCUUUACUGACAAUGCCUCAAUUACCGCCAGAUAUUCCACCACCCCCACUGCAGGAAGUUCCACCUCCACCAAGACCACCUUCUGAACCACAGAAAAUCUCAUCCCGUCUGCAAGAAUCCCAACCUUCUACACAUAAUGUGUUAGUAACAUCGUCUGACACUUCUCAACAAAUCAACGUUCCUCCACCUCCCCCACUACCCACCGAUGCAAGAUCUCAAGUCACCGUUCCUCCACCUCCUC